rnacentral:lncRNA from 1 species
GCCAGGGGCGGUAAAAAGGCGGGCUGUUGAUGCCGGUUUGGCGGUUUUCCUUGCUGGGUUGGAGUUGAUCACGUUUUGGUGCACAUGACGAACUGUGGAGCGCAAGAUAUCAUGGAAGGGAGGCGAAACGAGAAAGGCACUCAGGUGACUUCAGGCGAGAGAAGAAUACAGAGCAAGCACACAGGGGCAUGGGCGUCCCAAUACCCCGAAUGGACACACACACGUACCGUAAUAAGUACGGUCAUACCUGACAAGCCGCCACAGGUAGGGUGUAGGCUUGCGGUGUAGGCUCCGCGUAUUGACUAUAAUGACCUGCAAUGCACACUUCUUGCCAUAUCUGCGAGGUUGAAAAAUGUUGAGACUUAAUGCGCAGUACGGUACUACACAUGCGUAGUGCUACUACCGUACUGCAAAUUGUGGUUCAUGACGGCUUGGACGCAAUGUCUUGUGACAAUAAUGUCUUGGCCUGCUGAACGCAUACCAGCAGGGCUUUGUGCCCUUCAGCAGGCUCGUGCCCAUGUUGAUAACACAAGUAUUAUACAGUACAACCGGUCGUACUGUAUGGGCACCUACAUGCGCAAUCAGAGGCCUACAGAUUGUACAGAGGCGACUGGCCUAAACCAGCCCUGACCUGAUACUCAGCCCCCAAUCCAACCCAAC